rnacentral:rRNA from 1 species
UACAGAGGGUGCGAGCGUUAAUCGGAAUUACUGGGCGUAAAGCGUGCGCAGGCGGAUGCAUAAGUCAGACGUGAAAGCCCCGGGCUUAACCUGGGAACGGCGUUUGAAACUGUGCGUCUAGAGUGCGUCAGAGGGGGGUGGAAUUCCGCGUGUAGCAGUGAAAUGCGUAGAGAUGCGGAGGAACACCGAUGGCGAAGGCAGCCCCCUGGGAUGACACUGACGCUCAUGCACGAAAGCGUGGGGAGCAAACAGG